rnacentral:rRNA from 1 species
ACGUACACUCCUGCGGGAGGCAGCAGUGGGGAAUUUUGGACAAUGGGCGAAAGCCUGAUCCAGCCAUGCCGCGUGCAGGAUGAAGGCCUUCGGGUUGUAAACUGCUUUUGUACGGAACGAAACGGCCUUUUCUAAUAAAGAGGGCUAAUGACGGUACCGUAAGAAUAAGCACCGGCUAACUACGUGCCAGCAGCCGCGGUAAUACGUAGGGUGCAAGCGUUAAUCGGAAUUACUGGGCGUAAAGCGUGCGCAGGCGGUUAUGUAAGACAGUUGUGAAAUCCCCGGGCUCAACCUGGGAACUGCAUCUGUGACUGCAUAGCUAGAGUACGGUAGAGGGGUAUGGAAUUCCGCGUGUAGCAGUGAAAUGCGUAGAUAUGCGGAGGAACACCGAUGGCGAAGGCAAUCCCCGGGACCUGUACUGACGCUCAUGCACGAAAGCGUGGGGAGCAAACAGGAUUAGAUACCCUAGUAGUCCCAUG